rnacentral:siRNA from 1 species
AUAUGGAUUCGGGCUGCC